rnacentral:rRNA from 1 species
UACGUAGGCAGCAAGCGUUGUUCGGAGUUACUGGGCGUAAAGAGUAUGUAGGCGGUCUGCUUAGUCCGGUGUGAAAUCUCCCGGCUUAACUGGGAGGGAGCGCUGGAUACUGGCAGGCUAGAGUGCGGGAGAGGAAAGUGGAAUUCCUGGUGUAGCGGUGAAAUGCGUAGAUAUCAGGAGGAACUGCUGUGGUGAAGACGGAUUUCUGGACCGCAACUGACGCUGCGACACGAAAGCGUGGGUAGCAAACAGG